rnacentral:rRNA from 1 species
UACGGGAGGCAGCAGUGGGGAAUAUUGCACAAUGGGCGCAAGCCUGAUGCAGCCAUGCCGCGUGUAUGAAGAAGGCCUUCGGGUUGUAAAGUACUUUCAGUCGUGAGGAAGGUGUUAAGGUUAAUAACCUUAGCAAUUGACGUUAGCGACAGAAGAAGCACCGGCUAACUCCGUGCCAGCAGCCGCGGUAAUACGGAGGGUGCGAGCGUUAAUCGGAAUUACUGGGCGUAAAGGGCACGCAGGCGGUUAAUUAAGUUGGAUGUGAAAUCCCCGGGCUUAACCUGGGAAUGGCAUUCAAGACUGGUUAGCUAGAGUCUUGUAGAGGGGGUAGAAUUCCAUGUGUAGCGGUGAAAUGCGUAGAGAUGUGGAAGAAUACCGGUGGCGAAGGCGGCCCCUGGACAAAGACUGACGCUCAUGUGCGAAAGCGUGGGGAGCAAACAGGGAUUAGAUACC